AUGAACGCUGGCGGCGUGCCUAAUACAUGCAAGUCGAGCGAACAGACGAGGAGCUUGCUCCUCUGACGUUAGCGGCGGACGGGUGAGUAACACGUGGAUAACCUACCUAUAAGACUGGGAUAACUUCGGGAAACCGGAGCUAAUACCGGAUAAUAUAUUGAACCGCAUGGUUCAAUAGUGAAAGACGGUUUUGCUGUCACUUAUAGAUGGAUCCGCGCCGCAUUAGCUAGUUGGUAAGGUAACGGCUUACCAAGGCGACGAUGCGUAGCCGACCUGAGAGGGUGAUCGGCCACACUGGAACUGAGACACGGUCCAGACUCCUACGGGAGGCAGCAGUAGGGAAUCUUCCGCAUUGGGCGAAAGCCUGACGGAGCAACGCCGCGUGAGUGAUGAAGGUCUUCGGAUCGUAAAACUCUGUUAUUAGGGAAGAACAAAUGUGUAAGUAACUAUGCACGUCUUGACGGUACCUAAUCAGAAAGCCACGGCUAACUACGUG
rnacentral:rRNA from 1 species